rnacentral:rRNA from 1 species
CGCCAGCAGCCGCGGUAAGACGUAGGGCGCAAGCGUUGUCCGGAUUUAUUGGGCGUAAAGAGCUCGUAGGCGGCUUGUUGCGUCGACUGUGAAAACCCGUGGCUCAACCAUGUGGUCUGCAGUCGAUACGGGCAGGCUAGAAUUCGGUAGGGGAGACUGGAAUUCCUGGUGUAGCGGUGAAAUGCGCAGAUAUCAGGAGGAACACCGGUGGCGAAGGCGGGUCUCUGGGCCGAUAUUGACGCUGAGGAGCGAAAGCGUGGGGAGCGAACAGGAUUAGAUACCCUGGUAGUCCACGCUGUAAACGUUGGGCGCUAGGUGUGGGGGGCCUCUCCGGCUCUCUGUGCCGCAGCUAACGCAUUAAGCGCCCCGCCUGGGGAGUACGGCCGCAAGGCUAAAACUCAAAGGAAUUGACGGGGGCCCGCACA